GUCUCGGUGGCGCAAUUGGUAAGCUUUCACAUCCGAAAUCGUGAGGUUGAGAGUUCGAUCCUCUCCCGGGACG
rnacentral:tRNA from 1 species